UAGUUACCUGUGGGGGAGAGGAACUUUUCUCUACUAGAGAAGCUCAUUUUUCAAGUUUCGAACUUUAAAAAUUAAAACUCUCCAAUGUUUGAAAAUCAGUUUGGCGCCAAAACCACCUGGGAUUUUGAAAAACGGUCCUCAAAAACAGAGACUUUACAAAUGAACAACACAUUUAACGCUCCUCUAACGUUUUCUAAGUUCUCCAUGGCUGCAAACAAUGGAGAUCCCACUGAGAUUUCCAAUCGAAAUCUUAGUAGCUGCAAUUUCUCUAUUGGCGAAAGAUUUGAAUCCGAGAUUCCAGAUUCUUCGUAUUCACUCUCAUUGCCUUCUGAGCCUCCUGAUUUAAGGAACUGGUUCUCCAGUUACGCUUAUGAAUCUCCGGAGUUGAAUACCGGAGAUGGGUUUAGUCCUGGAGAGAGUCAAAGCAAGGGGUUUAGUCUUGAAGAGAUCCUCAGAAUUAAAAAAGAGGAUUUGGGGCAAUUCAAGAUUAGCAGUGUCAGAGAUUUUUCUAUUGUUGAUGGAAGAAACUCCUUAAAUGAGCUCGUUGGAUGCCAGAGAUUUCUUGAUGAGGAUAACCAAGAAAAAGAAAAUCAGGGUUUUGAUAAGGAGAACCAUCUGGUUGACAGUAAAGAAAACCCGAUAUGCAGAAAUGGUUGUUCAGAUGAAAGCUUGGAAGGAAAACAAGAACAAUCCCAUGAUUUUAUUCCUUUAAAAGAUGACGAAAAAUCAUACUUGAAUUGUCGGAAUGCUUUACCGGAGCCGGAUGCAAUAGAAGACGACGACGCUCUUGAGAGGAGGAUUGCAACGACACAGGUUGAUCGAACAUCACCCGCCAGUGGAGCUUCUUCGAUAACGAAGUCAAUCCGUAGCAGUGACGACAAAGAAAACGAGGGAAAAGUUUUUUCCAUUGAUGGUGGAUUCAUAUCAACAAGAAAGAACAGAAUCAUAAGAGAAACAGAUGGAAUAUUUUCUGGAAGGAAUAGGGUUAUUGAAGAGAAUUCGAGAAAUGAGAGUAUGAUUUCAAAUGGAGAGAAAGUUGGAGUUGUGAGGAAUGCUUUAUCAGAAAGAACAAACAUUCAGUGGGAGCCCGUAGCAGAGAUUGCAGGGAAAUGGAGGUAUCCCAGGAGGAAUAAGCCAGACCUUGGACCUCCAUUGAAGCAGCUUCGACUUGAACAGUGGGUUCAUCGUGUAUAAAAACAUAAUCAAGCUUACUUCGCCCGUAUGAGGGAAGGACUAGGGCAAUGGGAGGUCCAAUCUUCUGUUGCUCAAGAACGCUAUCCCAAUACCUGUAUUUCCAUAUGGGUUCUUUACCAGGCCAUUGCUAGAUCGCUUGGCCAUCACAGCAUCACUACAGGAGGAUACGGAAAACUACUCUCAGUACUUCGAUUUUGGAUGGAUUUACUUCUGGGGUUGGUUCAGUUUCGGGGAAUUUUUAUCAGUGGCAGAAGCAGAGCUGCAGAAGUCUUAUUUUACAGACUACUUCUGAUCUGAGGAUGGAGAGAGACUCCCCCAUUCUGACUGGUAAUAUUCCACUUGAAUCUAUUGCAGAUUUUUCUAUUUUGGAAUCGGAUAAAUGUGUAAUCUCUGUUCUUUUCAUGUGUUUGUUAGGUCUAUCCACCUGGAAUGGUUUUUUUUUUACCUUGGAGUUCUUAUAUAAGCUGUAGUAUUGCAACAUAUUGGUCAUGCUGGAGAGAGGACUGGCUAUAAGCCUAUAACUCUUGGAUAUGUACUAAAUCUUCUCUGAAGUUUAGAAAGCUAUGCUGCUAUUCAGAGGAACCAUUUGGAGUUUAAGUUUCAAAAUAACAAGUCUCUUCCUCUUGUUCAAACUCUUUGUUCUGGUUAUCUGCAGUGCUGUUGCCUGGUGGAUCCCAAUGUCUUCGUAGACUGAUUGGAAGAGCAGUUUCAAAGGAACUCAUAUUCUCUGGUGAAAGAUUAAUGGCAGAGAUGCAAUGUCAAUGGGUAUUUUUACUUGGUCCAAAACCAUGCAACUUCAUUUAUUUAUGAACAAUGAAGGUGCAAUCUGAAACGGGUUUUGUCGCUUUUUCUGUUGCUUCAACCGGGGCUUAUCAAAAGGCUCUUGAAAGUAUUCUCUCUAAAGGACGCUGACCUGGGGAAGAUCCUGCAUGACAUGCCCUAUGAGCAUUGUCUCCUAUCACCCCGGUAGGGAACUUGUUUCAAUCUGUGUGUUCCAUGAGAACUGCUCUUAUCGUUUGAUUAUCAAUAUAUGAUUUACCAUCCAAAGAGA